UAGAGACCAACAUGUCUCGCUUCUCCACUGUCCUCAUGAUCUCUGACAGGACCUCCUGCUCCUCCUGCAGCUCAGAGGCACUCUUCUUUGUAUCUGGAGUGAUGUGGAAGAGAGCAGAGGAAGGUGGGAAGAGAUCUUGCUGCAGUCGGCUCUGUGUGUCCUGCAGUUCAAGUUCCUGAGCACUAAGAGAGAGGAGAAAUGGGUGACUUCAGCUGAACGAGUUUAAACCAGGACUGAUAGAGCUGGCCCUCGUCACUGUCAUCAGUCUGAGAUGAUUCUGGGAGAGGAAAAGAGAGGAAGCAAAGAGGGAACAAAGGAAGGAAGGUCUCUCUGUUUCUCAGCGACCUCCUCCAGUUGUCUUUGGAUGGCCUGAGCGAUGCAAAAGUGGGACAUUAUGUGACACACGAUGAAAGGAGAUGAUUAUUUCUGCCUCCACCAUGCAUGUGAUCUCUCUCUCUCUCUCUCUCUCUCUCUCUCUCUCUCUCUCUCUCUCUCUCUUACUCUGGAUAUUCCAGAGAACACAAGGUCAACUAUUCUUAUAGGCCCCAUUACUUUGGUAGAAAGUAAUUACAAUAAAAGAGUAACAUACAA